GUCCCUGUAGCACAAUGGAUAGCGCGUUGGACUUCUAAUUCAAAUGUUGUGGGUUCGUCCCACCUGGGAUG